rnacentral:sRNA from 1 species
UUUUUUAAUAAUACAUGCAACGUCUUCUCCGAUUGGCAUAAUGGUAGCGAACGGAGCAUAACCCACAAUGUUUACCUUGAUAUUAUGCCACCAGACCGGAGCUAAAGCUGAGCAAACGCAACCGAAGCCCGUAACUGAAAGCUAAACCUGCCAGAUCUCAUACAUAUAAACAUGCGAUUGUGCGGGCAGAGCCAUACAGAUGUAAAUGUUUAUGUUUCCUGUCCAACGCGAGGGUCCGGGGAGAGCGGGAGUUGACUGGGUUAUCUUGGCGAACUGCUGGCACAGUUUGGAGUGGAAUGGAGAUAGUGUAGAAAAGAGAACGAGAGAGAGAGAGGGCAAAGGAUAGAGAGAGCGAGAGCAGUGAGAAGAAAGACGCACAACACAUGGACGCUUGGGAGUGGAGAAUUUGUGCAAUAUUUUUAAUAUUUAUAUGGCAACCACACAAGCACACAAAUCAUCAGCAGGCGACGGCAGCAGAGCAACACGACCAAGAAAA